rnacentral:rRNA from 1 species
UACAGAGGGUGCGAGCGUUAAUCGGAAUUACUGGGCGUAAAGCGUGCGCAGGUGGUCAUGUAAGUCGGGUGUGAAAGCCCCGGGCUCAACCUGGGAAUUGCAUUCGAGACUGCAUGGCUAGGGUGCGGAAGAGGGAAGCGGAAUUUCCGGUGUAGCGGUGAAAUGCGUAGAUAUCGGAAGGAACACCAGUGGCGAAAGCGGCUUCCUGGUCCAGCACCGACAUUCAGGCACGAAAGCGUGGGGAGCAAACAGG